UCCUGGCUCAGGACGAACGCUGGCGGCGCGCCUAACACAUGCAAGUCGAACGAGCCGAGGGGAGCUUGCUCCCCAGAGCUAGUGGCGGACGGGUGAGUAACACGUGAGCAACCUGCCUUUCAGAGGGGGAUAACGUUUGGAAACGAACGCUAAUACCGCAUAACAUACCGGGACCGCAUGAUUCUGGUAUCAAAGGAGCAAUCCGCUGAAAGAUGGGCUCGCGUCCGAUUAGCUAGUUGGCGGGGUAACGGCCCACCAAGGCGACGAUCGGUAGCCGGACUGAGAGGUUGAUCGGCCACAUUGGGACUGAGACACGGCCCAGACUCCUACGGGAGGCAGCAGUGAGGGAUAUUGGGCAAUGGGGGAAACCCUGACCCAGCAACGCCGCGUGAGGGAUGACGGUUUUCGGAUUGUAAACCUCUGUCCUCUGUGAAGAUAGUGACGGUAGCAGAGGAGGAAGCUCCGGCUAACUACGUGCCAGCAGCCGCGGUAAUACGUAGGGAGCAAGCGUUGUCCGGAUUUACUGGGUGUAAAGGGUGCGUAGGCGGAUUGGCAAGUCAGAAGUGAAAUCCAUGGGCUUAACCCAUGAACUGCUUUUGAAACUGUUAGUCUUGAGUGAAGUAGAGGUAGGCGGAAUUCCCGGUGUAGCGGUGAAAUGCGUAGAGAUCGGGAGGAACACCAGUGGCGAAGGCGGCCUACUGGGCUUUAACUGACGCUGAGGCACGAAAGCAUGGGUAGCAAACAGGAUUAGAUACCCUGGUAGUCCAUGCCGUAAACGAUGAUUACUAGGUGUUGGAGGAUUGACCCCUUCAGUGCCGCAGUUAACACAAUAAGUAAUCCACCUGGGGAGUACGACCGCAAGGUUGAAACUCAAAGGAAUUGACGGGGGCCCGCACAAGCAGUGGAGUAUGUGGUUUAAUUCGACGCAACGCGAAGAACCUUACCAAGUCUUGACAUCCCUUGACGAACAUAGAAAUAUGUUUUCUCUUCGGAGCAAGGAGACAGGUGGUGCAUGGUUGUCGUCAGCUCGUGUCGUGAGAUGUUGGGUUAA
rnacentral:rRNA from 1 species